rnacentral:tRNA from 1 species
GCCUCUGUAGCUCUAGAAAGGAAGAGCGCCGUAAAACAAUUGUAGUAGCGGGUCGCAAGGCAAGGGUUUCAGAAGCACCGAAAAGCAAAUGAGCUGAGACAGGUGAAAUUCCGUAGGGAAGCGUGUUCUCCCCUAGCCUAUGCUUACGAAAGGAGUGCGGGUUCGAAUCCCGUCAGAGGCA